GGCAGAGGUUGAGGUGGCUGGAUGGGGUCACUGGGGAGGUGGGUGUGAGAUUGGGUGGACUCCAGGUGAUGGGGGAGGACAGGAGAGACUGGAGGAAUGUUGUCCAUGGAAUUGCAAGGAGCUGAGCAUGAUUUUGUGACUGAACAAGAACAAUAUUGCUAUGAGCUACCCACUUCUUUUUUCUGGUGAGAAAUUCCAAUGGCAAAAGUACCUGAGAUUCACUUGCUCUGGAGGAGAGAGCAUUGGAGACUUAUGGCAUUCUUAUAAUAUCUUUCCAAGUGCACCAGUAGAUCCUAAAUAGAGGCAAGCAGCAUUUGUACUCCACAAGACAGCAGAUACACUAUGUGGGGAUGAAUGAAUCUCAGUUUCAGUUUUUCUUGGUUUCCUUUUUUCCCAAGCUUACAUUCAUUCCAUUCCAUUUCCUCAUCAGGGUGUGAACAUUUUUUUUGCAAGUUCUCGUUUUCAUGCACAUUUCUUCUAAUAUAUACAUUAUAUAUGCACUUUUGUUUAACAUUUUUGCAAGCAAAUUCUAUGCAUUUUCCCUCUAGAGCAUACAUCCCCCUAACAUAUAAAUUUUUGUAUGCAUUCUUUGAUCUGAGAUCUGCAUCAAAAUUCAGAGAAGUGUGAUCUCAGAAGGAUAACUGCAUUUCAGUUUGCAUGUUGGUUCAGGAAAUGUGAAUUAAGGUGGUUCCUAUUCAAGCACCAAUCUAACAAAUUUACAUCCCGUCACUACUACUACCCUACAUCAGGUCUUCAAAAAGAGGUCUAACUCUACCCUUGGUGAAUGGGUUCACCAUCUCAAAACUCUGACAGCCAGCACUCAGGCUCUAGCACGAGGUAUCUCUUAACUAUUAACUCAUUGAUAAAGCGUCAGCCAGCCACCCUGGGAUAUUUAGGGCAAUUAAUGUAUCCCAAAGUGAUUACAACAACAGCCAUGUGGAUGGAAAGGUAUUCUGGUCAACAUAUCCAAAGUCUACUAAAAUCAAAGUGGGGAAAAGCCACCAGGUUGGGUUUCCAGUUUAGGAGUGACACAAACAUAGACAUGUGCACGUAAUUCUGAUGUUACUGGUCUGAUGCAAACUUAACCAAACAAAAGAUGACCAAAUGUUUAAUAAUAAUAUGUGUGCAUGACAUGCUACUUUGAAGGGUUUACUCUAGAACAGGGGUGGGCAACUCAUGGCCUCCAGAUGUUUUGGCCUGCACCUCCCAUGCUCCCUCCCCACUGGCUAAUUCAGCCUUGCCCAACGUUGUGCCUUCCAGACACAUUUGGACUGCAAAGCCCACAAUUCUUAGUCAAUGACCUUGCUGGAUGGGAAUUCUGGGAGUUGCACUCCAAAUGCCACCAGGUUGAGAAAGGCUGGACUCAUGACUGAUAAGGCGACAUUGCAGCAGCUGCAGAAGAACAGAGGAACAGCCAUGCUGGAUCAGACCAAGGGUCCACCUAACCCAGCAUUCUGCUUACUCACUGGCCAGCCAGCUGCCCAUGGGGAACUCUCAAGCAGGAUGCAAGUGCAGCGAAAGUCUCCUGCACAUCUUCCUGCAGAACAGGGGUAGACAGGCAUAGUGCUUGAGGACAGGAGGUACAGGAGAUAGCAUAUAACUUUCAGGACAAAUAGCCAUGGGUAGCCGUAUCCUCUAUGAAUCGGUCCAUUCCUCAUUUAACGCCAUACAAAUCUGUGGUCCUUAGUUCAUCUCAUGGAAGCGAAUUCCAUAGUUUAACUUGGUACUGUGUGAAGAAGGACUUCUUUUUGUCUGUCCUGAUCAACCAUUCAGCCUCAUGGGAUGAUUGCACAGAGUUCCUCUACAGAGAACAGGCAUCAGUCCCCAGCUUUGUAUCUCAUCUUUAUCAAUGCAGCUUGCUUUUGACUCAGGUAACUUGGGUUUUUACUUUGCCUUUUACCUGUUUUUAACCAUUUGUAUUUUCCUGACUUUGGGGAUUUUUAAAAACCGCUUAUCUUUGGUAAGGGUCAUUGCCUACAAUCAGUCAACCCAAAUCUAGGAUCUAAUCCAUCACUGAUUUUCAUUUAGUUAUUCAUCCUGUAACAGAGAGGCACAUAUGUUACGAAUGAGUCAAUGAUAAUGUUAAAGCCAGUCAAAAGCUCAGAUAUGAUACUUACGUUUUUCAGUCUUGCUAUUUGGUAGCUGCACUGCCUUCUGAUCUCCUUAAUCAGUCUAGUGGCUAACAGUGCAAGCUAUGCUUCUACUGCAAAGCUCUCCUCCCCUAAAAAGUCCCCGUAUACAAACCCCUUUCCACUGCCACCUGUAAUUGGGAUUCCUACAGUUCAGGAAAAUGCUUCCUGGUGUGUUUCUGUUCAUUUAACAGUAGCUUGAUCUGCAGAAAGCCACAAGUGACAGCGUUCAUGGCACAGCAGUAACAGUUCUGGACCCAGCUGCUGGUAACAGCUCAGGAGCUGAAAUGGAUUCUCUAUGGGAUUUUAGGAAUGUUGAGACGUGCUAGUUAAAAAGCCCUAAGUACAAGAUGGUCACGGCUGGCUGGAACAAGGCAUGUUCUAAUGGAAACAAAUCACUUGUCAGAAAGCAGCCUUCAAACUUUGAACGCAAGCUCAAAAGACUUGGGGGAAAAAGACAUGCUUGUUGGCUUAGGAUGACUGAAUGCAAAGUUCACCAUUCCAAGAAGAUAGCCCAAAGGCCUUCCUAAGAAAGACAAGGGUGGAAUCUGCAUGAAUGGACAUGGGAAGAUGGCAGUGAAGCCCAAGCACCACUUAAGCUGCUCCCGGUCCCCUUAAAACAGGGUGUUCCACCACCACACCAGAACAAGCAGUGACCGCAAGAGGCACAGUUCCCACUAUGCACAUUGAGAUCAGUGGAAUCACCUUAACGUGGUCAAAUUAAAUCUUCAAAUUAAACAGUGUUUGCAUUCAACAA